rnacentral:rRNA from 1 species
AGGGAAUAUUGCACAAUGGACGAAAGUCUGAUGCAGCGACGUCGCGUGAGGGAUGAAGGGUUUCGGCUCGUAAACCUCUGUCAGGUGGGACGAUGGUUACAGUAGAUAAUACCUGCUGUAGUUGAUGGUACCACCAGAGGAAGCACCGGCUAACUACGUGCCAGCAGCCGCGGUAACACGUAGGGUGCAAGCGUUGCUCGGAAUCACUGGGCGUAAAGGGUGGGUAGGUGGAAUAGUAAGUCAGAUGUGAAAGCCCUGGGCUCAACCCGGGAAGUGCAUUUGAUACUGCUAAUCUAGAGUCUGGGAGAGGAAAGCAGAAUUUCAGGUGUAGGGGUGAAAUCCGUAGAUAUCUGAAGGAAUACCGGAGGCGAAGGCGGCUUUCUGGACCAGUACUGACACUCAGCCACGAAAGCGUGGGUAGCAAAC